GCCGAGGGCCUGAGAGAUUUUGAAAACCAGGCCUAGUCUCUUCCUGUCUCGAGGUGGGUGACGGGAAGGCGUCGAUCGACGCCCGCUCCUCCAGCUCUGGCCCUUGGGGGGACUCCCGUCCGAUGCCCAGGAGACUUCGGAGGUUGCAGUCCAGGGCCUGGAGACUGCUUCUGGGCUGACGGUGGAAGGCAGGGGCCUCGCACGCUCUCAGACUCUUCCGGAAAUGUUUGAAACAGCCCCGCGGUCAAGGAGAUGCCCCAGGACGUGAAGCGCUCGCGAGCAAACUCCACCUUCGGAGGAGCGCUCGGCCGGGGCACGGCGCCCCGACCCCGAAGGAAAAGUAGAAAAGUUUGAGGCUGCCGCGCACUUCCUGGCCAACGCCGUCCUUUUCUGUAACGGGGCCGGAGCCGACGGCACGACUGUGAGCGGCCGACUGCAUAGACCCGUCCCGUAGCAGAGCCCGCGGCGGCGUGCGCCUCGCGCUCUCUCCAGUUCAAGCUGAGACGUGGCCUGCCGCAGGUGGGCUUUGGGGCUGGAGCCCCGCAACGAGACCUACAAGUUGAACUUGAAGAGGGCGGAGCUCGGGCUUCGAGAGAGAGUCCCACCGCAGGUGCUGGCGGCUUUGAACCACCGGCCCGCUGCACAACCCGAGCUUCCUGAGCGUGGCACCAGACCUCACGAAGUUCAACAGCUGCCACAUAGGAAGAGGAGUGCAGGAAGAGAAUGAUGGCGGUGAUGACCGGCACAGAGCUGGUGGAUGCCGGACUGGAAGUGAGAGGCUUAGGCCAGGAAGAUAGAAGAAGCAUUGAGUUGAUAAACCAGAGAGAGUCCCUUUCGAGGGGAGCUGACUAGGGAAAAACUGAAGGUUCAAAGGGCAGACAAUGAAGACCACCAGAGUGGAACAAGAAUGGCAAAGAAAAGGGGACUCCAGUGGGGAAGACUGCUGGGAUUGCCUGGACGUGCAUUCAUUCUAGGCCUACUAAAGACUUGGGGAGCGCAUGCCGAGGUCCAAAGAUCAAGACCUAGACAGACACCUUGGUGAAGAACUGUGGAGGACUGAGUCAUCCACUCCGUGAGGACAGGCCCUAGGAGGGAUCCUCUUUGUAUCAUUGACGAUAUCGGAGAUGUGGGCCUUAUUCCCAUUAUGGCAUCUUUGUCAAGGGUCCAGAAUCCAUUGGCAGGCUCGUUGGACUCCUAUAGCUGAGCAUUCCUGGAUCUCUUCCUUUGUCGCGAUUUCUUCACCUCCUUCGUGAUUUCUCUUUUUAUUCACCCACUCCCUCAGCGGUGCUGCCUCGCAAAGUCCUGAGCACGCUUCCCUGGUCUCUGACCCUGUCCCUGACCACACUUGAAAAUCAAAUUUAAAGCCCAGGCUUGUGCUAUAUUUUCCAAAUCUCCAGUCGCAAUAUCCAAGCCUCUGUUUUUCACUGCCUGCAUAUUUUUGAUCUCAAAAUGUUGAAAACAGAAUUCAUCUUUCUAGGCUAAAAGUGUCAGAGUCAUCUUGUAUUCAUCCCCCUACCUUGCCACCCACCCUGUUCGAUUCUGUUGCUUUUAGCUCUGAAAUAUCUUUUCUAUCCAUCUUCUUUCCGUUUCCACCAGCAAUUCUGUAUUUCAGGCCAUUGCCAUUAUUAUUUGAUGACGAUUAACAAUGAUCUAGCUGGCCUCUCUGAAUCCGGACUUCAGGGUGUCUGAUAAUCCUGUCCACUGUCAUUUACUUCAUCAGCUAAAAGCUGUGUUUCUCAAACUGGUUCAAAUAAUGAUAAUUUUGAGGAAUGUUAAUAGGGAGUAUGUUGCUUUUGAAAAGGGAGUUGUCAAAUGUUAUUAGGAAAUGCUGGAUUAAAGUAAAAUGUUUAUGACAGCACUUUUCAAAGCCUUUAGCAUGUUAAUUUACAUAACAAAUCUUCAAUAUAACAUGUAGUCCCACGGGGGCAAGGAUUCGUUUGCUGUUUUCAUUGGUAUAGUUCCAGAAUAGUCGCAUGAUGCCAUUAAAUAACAAGUACUCGAUAUACAUAAUUUGAAUAAAAGAAUAAAAGAUAGGUAUGUUAUAAAUAGUAUUUUCCAUUUUUAUGUAAAAAUAACAAACAUUUUAUCAAGUUACAUCUCAGGGAAGCAGUGUUUAUGAAAGUUUCUGUGAAACAUUGCUCUAAAGUAGGGUUUCUCAACCAUGGCAUGAAAAGACCUUUUGAGCCAGAUAAUUCUUUAUGGCAAGGACCCAUCCUGCUCAUUGUAGGAGGUUUAACAGCCUGUUGGCCUCUACCUACUAGAUCAGAGUAGCACCGGCCCUCUCUUGUUCACCGCUGGCCGUAUUCGGUUUUUGACCUUGCCUCUGUGACAAAAAUAAUGUCUCCAGACAUUGACAGAUGUCCCUGGAGUGAGGGGGGCAAAAUCAUCCCUCAUUAAGAAAAUGUUAUAGUCUGGGCUUAUUAUUCUCCAGCUCAGAAAUUUUCACAACUUCUUCCUUGCCUGUGGAAUUAAGUCUGAAUUCCUUAGGCUGAUACCUAAGUUCUCUGUCCUCAAUCUUACAAGCACUUGUGCACACACGCGCACACACAAUUUAUGGGAACCAGGUGAUUAGAGAGGUAGCACGUGGCAAGAAAGGCGGUAGUUCACUUUGUGUAAUUGUGAUGAUCUCAGUGUGUCCCAGAUGCUGUUCCCUUCUCUUUCCCACACCUUCAGCGGGCCGAAUGUUUAUUUGAACACUUCUUAAAAAAAAAAAAAAAGUCAUGUGCUACCCAAGUGGCCUUUGAUAGUCUUCCAUAGUUGUGAUUUCACCUGAGUAGAAACAUUUGUAAGAACACUGCAUGAUGUAUCUGGGGUCCUGUGUCCCAUUAGAGGACCCCUCCGACUUUUAUAUAUGACCCAGACCUAAAAUUCCUUAAUCAAUAUGCAAGACUGUCUACCACGUGCACAGCAUUGUGCACUCUGCUGGGAUUAUAACAGUUGCGGAAACAUACUCCCUACCUUCAAGGAAUUUAAAUACUAGUGAUUAGUGAAUUGAGAAAGUGCUGUACCAGACAUGAACAUCAAGAGGUGGAGAGCUUAAGAGAGACAAAAACGAACUGCUAUCUUGUAAGCUAGUAUAGAGGAGGCAGGAAGUAUGCCGAGUCAUGAACGACAGUUAAGGUGUUGAUCCCACACUCGGAGUGGCCCGUUGACUCAGGCCUUGUGACGAGCAUAUCUACAGGUGUGAAGGCAGGAUUAUGUUUUAUAGAGUGGCUGUUGUUCAGUGCUGGCUAUAUUUGUUUUUGGUCUUUUUAAUGUUUAUUUAUUUUUGAGAGACAGAGAGUUAGCGGAGGAGGAAAGAGAGAGCAAGGGAGACACAGAAUCCAAAGCAGGCUUCGG